rnacentral:rRNA from 1 species
GGGCGUAAGCGCGCGCAGGCGGUUUGUUAAGUUGGAUGUGAAAGCCCCGCGCUCAACCGGGGAACUGCAUUGAAAACUGGCGAGCUAGAGUACGGAAGAGGGUGGCGGAAUUCCCUGUGUAGCGGUGAAAUGCGUAGAUAUGGGAAGGAACACCAGUGGCGAAGGCGACCUCCUGGACUGAUACUGACACUGAGGCGCGAAAGCGUGGGGAGCAAACAGGAUUACAUAC